GUUACUUUGUUCAACAGUGGGUGGUGUUUGGAGCACCUGAGUCAUCAAGAGCCUAACAACAUCAGUAACACAGACAUGUUGAAAGUUUCUGUCGAGAGGGUUGGGUCUGUGGUCUGCACCAUGCACUGCUUAUCGUAAGCCUCAUCAGCUGUAUGCUUACCAGAAGUGACAGGAGUUCCCUCACACUUUCCUGGAGUUCUUUCAGGCUCGACUCAGUCUCAAC